rnacentral:lncRNA from 1 species
AUUGCUCCAACCCAGAUUCUUCUUGUAAAUUUCUCUAGUCACACACUUCAAGACAGCAUUUUGAACAACAGGACAGUGCCUAAUGCAGAGAGAGAUGGAGAUGCUGUGUGCUGGACAAGAAGGGCAGCUUAGAAAAAGGUGAAAGUGCAGAGUUCAAGUCACUGGAGCUGAAAUGAACUUCCAAAAUGUGCCAGCAGGCCUCGGGAAAUUAUGGGAUGUACAGUCUCUAAUCAUUACAGCAUGGCAUCUUCCAGGGUUGAUGUCAUUGCAUCCCUGAAGAAGGUGAUAAGUGAUAAAGACUGUUUUUCUAUUGAACAAGUAAGGAUGUAUAUAAGUAUACAUUAUACACUUAAGCAGAAAAAAAAAUAAAUUGUCUCACCGUACUAGUCGGGUUGAGAUUCGGGGAGUAGAGUUAUGACCCCGCAUCAAAGAAGCUUCCUUUGUGGAGAAGACAGAGACCAUUGCAGAAAUCCACAAUGGUGAGAAUGUAGAGAUCAACUGACUUGGGAUCGAAUCCCUAAUCUUGCACUUAGGGAUCAGGAACCAUCACAGAAGAGGGGACAGAAAAAUUGUAAGAACUGAAGGCCUAGGACAGUUGCUGUGGGAAAAUUUCCUCUUAUAAAAGAAAUAGGACAUGAAGUGGAGGUGGGCAUAAAGGAUGAAGGAGAUCUGGGAAGAGGUGGGACCGAAUAUGAUCAAAGUAU